UUGCAGCCAAUUGAGCUGACCUUCCUCUUUUCCCCAUGGGGGCCCAGUGUGCAAUAGCCGCAAACAGCGGCCUCCUUGGUGGUGUGCGCAGCCUUGGCCUGUAUGGGCUGCCCUAAGGGACCUUGGAGACAACC
ensembl:snoRNA SNORA70 Small nucleolar RNA SNORA70